rnacentral:tRNA from 1 species
CACCAGGUGGCUGAAAGAAAGCAAUGGUCUCUUAAACCAACUCAUAGUAACUAACACCUACUCCUGGUGA